GGAAGCGUGGCCGAGUGGUUGAAGGCACUGGUCUUGAAAACCAGCAACGGGCAACCGUUCGUGGGUUCGAAUCCCACCGCUUCCG
rnacentral:tRNA from 1 species